UCUAAUUAAAUUUGUUUAUUAAAAGAUUAAAUGUUAAAUCAUUAAAAUAAGAAGAUUUGGCGGUAUUUUAUAAAAUUAGAGGAACCUGUUAUUUAAUUUGAUAAUCCACGAUAAGAUAUACUUAAAUUGAAAGAAUUUAUGUAUUGCUGUUUUAAAAAUUUUAUUAAGUAAUAAUUUUAAAAUUUUUAUUAAUUAAUAUUUAAAAUAAAUUAAAUUCAAGUCAAAAUAUAGUUUAUUUAAGAAUAUAAUGGGUUACAAUUAAUUUUAUUAAUUUUUUAAAAAAAAUUUUAAUAUAAAUUUGUUAAAAAAUUGGAUUUAAUAGUAAAAUUAAUUAAUUAAUUAAUUUGAAAAUUUAUUAAAAUAUGU
rnacentral:rRNA from 1 species